UGAGGAAUAUUGGUCAAUGGACGGAAGUCUGAACCAGCCAAGUAGCGUGCAGGAUGACGGCCCUAUGGGUUGUAAACUGCUUUUGUAUGGGGAUAAAGUUAGGGACGUGUCCCUAUUUGCAGGUACCAUACGAAUAAGGACCGGCUAAUUCCGUGCCAGCAGCCGCGGUAAUACGGAAGGUCCAGGCGUUAUCCGGAUUUAUUGGGUUUAAAGGGAGCGUAGGCUGGAGAUUAAGUGUGUUGUGAAAUGUAGACGCUCAACGUCUGAAUUGCAGCGCAUACUGGUUUCCUUGAGUACGCACAACGUUGGCGGAAUUCGUCGUGUAGCGGUGAAAUGCUUAGAUAUGACGAAGAACUCCGAUUGCGAAGGCAGCUGACGGGAGCGCAACUGACGCUUAAGCUCGAAGGUGCGGGUAUCAAACAGGAUUAGAUACCCUGGUAGUCCGCACAGUAAACGAUGGAUGCCCGCUGUUGGUACCUGGUAUCANGCGGCUAAGCGAAAGCAUUANNGCAUCCCACCUGGGGAGUACGCCGGCAACGGUG
rnacentral:rRNA from 1 species